rnacentral:rRNA from 2 species
CGCGGCGGUGUGCCUAAUACAUGCAAGUCGAACGCGUUGGCCCAAUUGAUUGAUGGUGCUUGCACCUGAUUGAUUUUGGUCGCCAACGAGUGGCGGACGGGUGAGUAACACGUAGGUAACCUGCCCAGAAGCGGGGGACAACAUUUGGAAACAGAUGCUAAUACCGCAUAACAACGUUGUUCGCAUGAACAACGCUUAAAAGAUGGCUUCUCGCUAUCACUUCUGGAUGGACCUGCGGUGCAUUAGCUUGUUGGUGGGGUAACGGCCUACCAAGGCGAUGAUGCAUAGCCGAGUUGAGAGACUGAUCGGCCACAAUGGGACUGAGACACGGCCCAUACUCCUACGGGAGGCAGCAGUAGGGAAUCUUCCACAAUGGGCGCAAGCCUGAUGGAGCAACACCGCGUGAGUGAAGAAGGGUUUCGGCUCGUAAAGCUCUGUUGUUAAAGAAGAACACGUAUGAGAGUAACUGUUCAUACGUUGACGGUAUUUAACCAGAAAGUCACGGCUAACUACGUGCCAGCAGCCGCGGUAAUACGUAGGUGGCAAGCGUUAUCCGGAUUUAUUGGGCGUAAAGAGAGUGCAGGCGGUUUUCUAAGUCUGAUGU